GGGUGGGGGGGUUGGCGG
rnacentral:miRNA from 1 species